rnacentral:rRNA from 1 species
CAGCCGCCGCGGUAAAACGGAGGGAGCUAGCGUUGUUCGGAAUUACUGGGCGUAAAGCGCACGUAGGCGGCUUUGUAAGUUAGAGGUGAAAGCCUGGAGCUCAACUCCAGAAUUGCCUUUAAGACUGCAUCGCUUGAAUCCGGGAGAGGUGAGUGGAAUUCCGAGUGUAGAGGUGAAAUUCGUAGAUAUUCGGAAGAACACCAGUGGCGAAGGCGGCUCACUGGACCGGCAUUGACGCUGAGGUGCGAAAGCGUGGGGAGCAAACAGGAUUAGAUACCCCUGUAGUCCCUGUCUCUUAUAC